ensembl:lincRNA 4930591A17Rik RIKEN cDNA 4930591A17 gene
GGGUCCUGGCUUUACCUUGCAGUUAGGGGAUAUCCUGGAUGCCUCACGGCUUCAUUUCCCAUGGCGGCCAACACAUUGGUCGUUUGUAUACCAUUCUUCGCUUGACUUUGAUGGCUGCAUCUCACAGUCCCUCUUCUGCAUCCGGCUGAGUUUCGGCCUCUUCAGAUCCAGCUGCCACCACACUGCACAGGAAUAAAAAAACGUCCCUCUGGGAACCGGCAGGAAUUGUGACUCGUGAUAUAUAAAUGCAGAUGGGUGACAUUCUCUCUACUCACCUGAAUGAGCUCCCGCAUCCCCUGGGCCAGCCACACUGGGACACACACAGAAGGUUAGCCAAGGCUCAACCAAGAAAGGCUAGCCUUACAUGUUCAGGCGAGCUCCCAGCAUGCUCUUUUGUGCUACUCAUGGUCGCUGAGAGAACAUCAGAGGCUGCCUCUGUUCCAGCCAGACUUUUCCCCAUCUCUGAACCCCAGAUUCUUCAGUUCUUCUCACUGAAGUCAAGAGUAACGCACACAGCCCAAGGCUUGUUACAGAGAGCGUCACUCGCCACCCCUGUUCCAGGCAAAGUGCGUCCUCUUCAAGCCUGCGCACUCAGCAGCUGCCACUGGACACAUAAACCAUCUCACUGAACACACAUAAAUGCCAGCGUUGAGGCCCUAGCGGGUGAUGAGUCCUACCUAUUCCCAAGAUUUACAUCCAGGGUGUGAAAGUCAAUAAAAACUAAUUAGAUGUUUACCUC